AAAAAAGCUUGGUUUUGUAAUUCAAGCAAGCUAAGCUUGAUGAUUAAUGUUUUGAAGGAAUAUUGGAGUGCAAGUACGGGUCAAGCAACCAUAAAGGAAGUGCAACAGUAAAGGUAGCGUACUGUGGUGGUGUGCCGGGAGAAAUAACGAGCUACCAGCAAGUAGGAAUAGCUAGAUACGCCUCCGAACAAAUAGCGAUGUAAUAUCCCGCUAUCGUAAGGUGAGUGAACUUGCAUUGAAAAUAUUUUGGGAAA